UACGAAGGGGGCUAGCGUUGUUCGGAAUCACUGGGCGUAAAGGGCGCGUAGGCGGCCGAUCAAGUCGGGGGUGAAAGCCUGUGGCUCAACCACAGAAUGGCCUUCGAUACUGGUUGGCUCGAGACCGGAAGAGGUGAGUGGAACUGCGAGUGUAGAGGUGAAAUUCGUAGAUAUUCGCAAGAACACCAGUGGCGAAGGCGGCUCACUGGUCCGGUUCUGACGCUGAGGUGCGAAAGCGUGGGGAGCAAACAGG
rnacentral:rRNA from 1 species